rnacentral:rRNA from 1 species
AACGAACGCUGGCGGCAGGCCUAACACAUGCAAGUCGAGCGCCCCGCAGGGGAGCGGCAGACGGGUGAGUAACGCGUGGGGAUCUACGCAUCUCUACGGAAUAACGCAUGGAAACGAGUGCUAAUACCGUCUAAGUCCUGCGGGAGACAGAUUUAUCGGAGAUGGAUGAGCCCGCGUUGGAUUAGCUAGUUGGUGGGGUAAAGGCCUACCAAGGCGACGAUCCAUAGCGGGUCUGAGAGGAUGCUCAGCCACACUGGGACUGAGACACGGCCCAGACUCCUACGGGAGGCAGCAGUGAGGAAUAUUGGACAAUGGGCGAAAGCCUGAUCCAGCAAUGCCGCGUGAGUGAUGAAGGCCUUAGGGUUGUAAAGCUCUUUUACCAGGGAUGAUAAUGACAGUACCUGGAGAAUAAGCUCCGGCUAACUCCGUGCCAGCCGCCGCUGUAAAAC